rnacentral:rRNA from 1 species
GACGAACCGAGCGAACGUUGUUCGGAAUCACUGGGCUUAAAGGGCGCGUAGGCGGGCAUCAUAGUCUGUGGUGAAAUCCGGCAGCUUAACUGUCGAAUUGCCAUGGAUACUGGGUGUCUCGAGGGAGGCAGGGGUGCGCGGAACUAAUGGUGGAGCGGUGAAAUGCGUAGAUAUCGGAAGGAACGCCGGUGGCGAAAGCGGCGCGCUGGACCUCUUCUGACGCUGAGGCGCGAAAGCUAGGGGAGCAAACGGG